GAACUACUCCCUCUGUCCCAAAUUUCUUGUCUUAGAUUUUUCUAGAUACGGAUGUAUCUAAUACUAAAAUGUGACUUGAUACAUCCGUAUCUAGACAAAUCUAAGACAAGAAUUUUGGGACGGAGGGAGUACUUU
rnacentral:pre_miRNA from 1 species